GUGAAUCUUAUCAUCCAUGUUAACAAGACAAUUUCUGGUCCCAGCCUAGAGUCAGAAUUUCCGGGGCGUUGGGGGUGGGGUUGGGAAGCUGUGCUGCGCAAGCUUCGCCGGUGAUUCUCAUCACCACAGAAGGACUGGUUUCAGGUGUGCCUUCCUGCCAGGUGAGGGAGAGCCUUUAAAAGAGGUGUAGUCAUCAAGCGCACAGACUUUUUAUUUUCACUGUCUGGGUUUGCCUCUCAGCACUGCUUCGUGAAGUAUCGCCAUCUUAGUUAUCACCCCUUCCUCAUUGGAGACAAUGAAUCAUCCCCACCCCGUAGAGGGCCCUCUCCUGGAGGAAAAGAAGAACAAUCGGAGAGCAGGUUUGCUUGGUGGCUGCUAACUGGGAUUUUAAAGAUGUGUAUACCAAGAAUUGAAAUGCUGAAGUUCGUUAGGAAAC
rnacentral:lncRNA from 1 species